rnacentral:rRNA from 1 species
GUGAGGAAUAUUGCGCAAUGGAGGCAACUCUGACGCAGCCAUGCCGCGUGCAGGAAGAAGGCGCUACGCGUUGUAAACUGCUUUUAACCGGGAAGAAACCCCAGGACGUGUCCUGGGUUGACGGUACCGGAGGAAUAAGCACCGGCUAACUUCGUGCCAGCAGCCGCGGUAAUACGAAGGGUGCAAGCGUUAUCCGGAUUCAUUGGGUUUAAAGGGUGCGUAGGCGGAGCGUUAAGUCAGUGGUGAAAUCCUGCAGCUUAACUGUAGACUUGCCAUUGAUACUGGUGCUCUUGAGUGCGCUUGAAGUGGGCGGAAUGUGCCGUGUAGCGGUGAAAUGCUUAGAUAUGGCACAGAACACCAAUUGCGAAGGCAGCUCACUAAGGCGAUACUGACGCUGAGGCACGAAAGCGUGGGGAUCGAACAGGAUUAGAAACCCUAGUAGUCC